UGGGGCAUAGCCAAGCGGUAAGGCAACGGAUUCUGAUUCCGUUAUGCGAAGGUUCGAAUCCUUCUGCCCUAGCCA
rnacentral:tRNA from 1 species